CAGCAGCCGCGGGAAUUCGUAGGUCCCGAGCGUUGUCCGGAUUUAUUGGGCGUAAAGGGAGCGCAGGCGGUUUAGUAAGUCUGAAGUUAAAGGCAUUGGCUCAACCAAUGUAUGCUUUGGAAACUGUUAGACUUGAGUGCAGAAGGGGAGAGUGGAAUUCCAUGUGUAGCGGUGAAAUGCGUAGAUAUAUGGAGGAACACCGGUGGCGAAAGCGGCUCUCUGGUCUGUCACUGACGCUGAGGCUCGAAAGCGUGGGUAGCGAACAGGAUUAGAUACCCGAGUAGUCCCUGUCUCUUAUACA
rnacentral:rRNA from 1 species